AGCGGCGGACGGGUGAGUAACGCGUAGGAAUCUACCUGGUAGUGGGGGACAACUUGGGGAAACUCAAGCUAAUACCGCAUACGCCCUAUGGGGGAAAGCGGGGGACCUUCGGGCCUCGCGCUAUCAGAUGAGCCUGCGUAGGAUUAGCUAGUUGGUGAGGUAAAGGCUCACCAAGGCGACGAUCCUUAGCUGGUCUGAGAGGAUGAUCAGCCACACUGGGACUGAGACACGGCCCAGACUCCUACGGGAGGCAGCAAUGGGGAAUAUUGCGCAAUGGGGGCAACCCUGACGCAGCCAUGCCGCGUGUGUGAAGAAGGCCUUCGGGUUGUAAAGCACUUUAAGUGGGGAGAAAAGGGUAGCGGUUAAUAGCCGUUACCUGUGAUGUUACCCACAGAAUAAGCACCGGCUAACUCCGUGCCAGCAGCCGCGGUAAUACGGAGGGUGCGAGCGCUAAUCGGAAUUACUGGGCGUAAAGCGCGCGUAGGUGGUUUGUUAAGUCAGCUGUGAAAGCCCCGGGCUCAACCUGGGAACUGCAGUUGAUACUGGCCGACUAGAGUACGAGAGAGGGAGGUAGAAUUCCAUGUGUAGCGGUGAAAUGCGUAGAUAUAUGGAGGAAUACCGGUGGCGAAGGCGGCCUCCUGGCUCGAUACUGACGCUGAGGUGCGAAAGCGCGGGGAUCAAACAGGAUUAGAUACCCUGG
rnacentral:rRNA from 1 species